AUACGGAUGGUGCGAGCGUUGUUAGGAAUUACUGGGCGUAAAGGGCGCGUAGGCGGCGAUGUAAGUCAAAUGUGAAAGUCCUCGGCUUAACCGGGGAAGUGCAUCUGAAACUGCAUUGCUUGAGUAUGGGAGAGGAAAGUGGAAUUCCCGGUGUAGAGGUGAAAUUCGUAGAGAUCGGGAGGAAUACCGGUGGCGAAGGCGACUUUCUGGACCAAUACUGACGCUGAGGCGCGAAAGCGUGGGGAGCAAACAGGAUUAGAUACCCUAGUAGUCC
rnacentral:rRNA from 1 species